AUGGUGUUACUUAUUUAUUUAUUCAUUCUUUCAUUCAAUAUAGGGUUGAUGUGUUGCACAUUUCCAGGGAGCAUCAGUGAUAUCAUCAUCUAUGUGGACAGUGCCCUUGAAGCUGUACAGGACACAACCUUCACAACCAUAUUCAGUUUGAUGAACAACAUAAACUGGGAGCUCAGUGGUCUAAAAGGACUUGACGUGUGGAAUGAAGGUCUCCUAGCCCACAAUGUAUUCAGUCCUCCCCACUACCCAGCCUCACAAGGAUACCAAUGCAGCCGUGUCAAGUGACAUUCAUUUGGAAGUCUGUGAACAAAAGAGAGGCACACACCUAAAAGUGAAGUUACAUGUGUGGAUGUUUAUAUGAAACAGAAGAGACACAAGAAAGGGUCUGAGACAUGAAAAACGGUGGAGGAAGAUAAACAUUUCAAGAUUCAUAUCACACUGCUGCUGCCCCGAUUCAGAGAGUCUCUAAGGAAAUAGCCAGAAGGGCUGCUCAACACUCUGCUUCCUUCCAAGGAAUAAAGAGUUUGCUACGAGCCA
rnacentral:lncRNA from 1 species